rnacentral:lncRNA from 1 species
GUGUCGUCGGCGGGAACUCGUAGCCAUUACACUACUCGCCGGAAGUGGGAAACCGAUCAGUGUUGGUAGCUUUUUUGCUUCGAACGGUUCAUUGUGGACUUUAGCACUCCUUCGAAACUCACUGGCAUAUUAGUUUCGUCUCCUGUUUGGGAAUAGAUUUGGACGAUCGGUCGGAGUGUCGUCGGCGGGAACUCGUAGCCAUUACACUACUCGCCGGAAGUGGGAAACCGAUCAGUGUUGGUAGUUUUUUUUGCUUCGGACGGUUCAUUGUGGAUUUUAGCACUCCUUCGAAACUCACUGGCCGAUUAGUUUCGUCUCCUGAUUUGGUUAUGGUCAAAAUCAACCAUUACCAUUUCACAUGCACAGCUAAAGAAGCUGAAAGUACCAUGAUCAGACGCAUUAGUUUUUUGAUUAUUUGAUAGGGUACUAGUAGCAUUUGUACAGUAUAUGUAAAUACGAAUGUGUAGAGUACUACUACUUUUAUAGUAAGUACAACCCAUUAUAAUCCCACUUAGUGGGGUCUGAGGAGGGUAGUAUGUACGCAGACCUUACCCUUACCCUAGGGUAGAGAGGCUGUUUCCAAAUAGACCCCCGGCAUCCUUCCCUCCAAGAACUUCCCACCUUGCUCUUGGGGCCCUUACCCUAGGGUAGAGAGGCUGUUUCCAAAUAGACCCCCGGUAUCCUUCCCUCCAAAAACUUCCCACAUUUGCUCUUGGGGAGACUCGAACUAACAACCUCUUGGUCGGAAGUGGGGGUUGUUUACCAUCAGAGCAAGCCCCUCUUGUCAGUACUACUACUGUUAUGUUCGUUGGUUAUAAUGAGAAAAUUUUACAAUCAUGGCCCGUUUUAAUUUGUUUAGGACCAUAAAUUUUAAAGUUUUUAUUUUUUUAAAAUUUUGUGUCCAAUCAAACAGAUUUACCUAAAUUGGAAUGGAGGGAGUAUUAUUUUUAAGUAAUUAAGAAUGAAUUAAGUUUAGUUUUUUUUUUAAUUUGUUCUUAUUUACAUAUCUUAAUAUAUCAAGUUAACAAUAUACAAAUUGUAAUUAAGAGUAAUUUAGUUAGGGAUUUUUUCCUAACUAUAUCAUAUAUAAAACCUUAUUAUCAAAAAUAUUCAU